GGUGAUGUUAGCUGAGAUGGAGGUGAAGCGGGGUCCAAAGCAACAUCUACGAAGUCCACCUAGGAGAGAAAAGGCUGAAGAAGCAGAGGUGUCUCCUCUGGACAGGCUCUGGGCAUACAACAUAUCAUGACCACAUUUUCAGUCAUCUGAGUGUAUUUGGCUCCCAGUGUUACUCUGGGUCUGUUUCUACAAGUCAAUUUUUCUUUUUAUUUUGCCUCAUAUUUCUCACAUUUCUGGAAGUUGAGCUCCCUUUCGACAUGUCCUUGUGUAAUUCAAAGACAUCAAGCUCCCUGCUUGUUUAGAAAGAUCUCAGAGACUGCAACUGUUCCCUAGACAGAGCCCGCUAGCAUCCGAUUGGACUAAGAGAUGCUAAUUGGGCUAAUGACCCACUUUCUCAUCAAAAUAUCCACUAUGACCAGAUUGUCCAGUGCUGUAUGAGUAGAGAUGCUGACCCUGGGCAUGGAAUUUGAGCCCUCUACUUCAAACUCAGUGUGUUUGCCUCAGAAGGUCCUUAAUUGGAUCUUAAUACCUGAAGAGAUGAUUGCUCCUACUGUGGAACACAUUUUUCCCAUUGAACAGUUACCCUCCCUUUAAAUAAAAUAACAUGUCUGA